rnacentral:rRNA from 1 species
CCAGCCACACUGGAACUGAGACACGGUCCAGACUCCUACGGGAGGCAGCAGUGGGGAAUAUUGCACAAUGGGCGCAAGCCUGAUGCAGCCAUGCCGCGUGUAUGAAGAAGGCCUUCGGGUUGUAAAGUACUUUCAGCGGGGAGGAAGGGAGUAAAGUUAAUACCUUUGCUCAUUGACGUUACCCGCAGAAGAAGCACCGGCUAACUCCGUGCCAGCAGCCGCGGUAAUACGGAGGGUGCAAGCGUUAAUCGGAAUUACUGGGCGUAAAGCGCACGCAGGCGGUUUGUUAAGUCAGAUGUGAAAUCCCCGGGCUCAACCUGGGAACUGCAUCUGAUACUGGCAAGCUUGAGUCUCGUAGAGGGGGGUAGAAUUCCAGGUGUAGCGGUGAAAUGCGUAGAGAUCUGGAGGAAUACCGGUGGCGAAGGCGGCCCCCUGGACGAAGACUGACGCUCAGGUGCGAAAGCGUGGG